rnacentral:lncRNA from 1 species
AAUAUAGUCAACUAUCAAAGAAACAUUAAAAGACAGCUUCCAUCUGCAAUUCAGACAUCAAAUACUCCUGGAGCAGGAAAAAUAACAUGGUGGCAAUUUCAUCCAUAUCUGCUUGUGGCCUCUGGCCCACUCUGAGCUGCUUCAAAUGGUGCGUACAAAAUGCCAAAUGAUCCCCUCGGAAGAUGUUACCUGAAGGAGACAGGAUUUCUCUGCCCAUCCAGGAAAAUCUGCAGGAACAACUUCUUUUCAGACCAGCAUUCAAGCCUUGCUGCACUUUUUUCCUGUCCAUAAGCCAUCCACAUCUCAUCAUCUACUGACUGGACUUCUACUUCUUGCAGGUUACGUGCAGAAAGCUAAACAUCUUUGGGCUGACAGGAUGAGACAAACUGGUUAUUUAUGUUCUACAGUAUCAUGGGAAAAAAACCCCAAACAUCUGCAUCUGAGAAUCAGUGUUUCAAAAAUCAUAUUUUAGGAACUCUAAGGUAAUAAAUCUGGACCCAUCAUGACUCA